GGGGGUUUAGCUCAGUGGUAGAGCGCUUGCCUUGCAAGUGCAAGGCCCUGGGUUCGGUCCCCAGCUCCG
rfam:Rattus norvegicus chromosome 17, whole genome shotgun sequence.